CCAAAGUACUGGGAUUACAGGCAUGAGCCACCGCGCCUGGCCCCUCUCUGCCUUCUUUCCUUCCUUUCCUUAUCACGUAUUUAGGAUUUUGCAAUGUUAGGCGAUUUCUUUCCCAUAUUUCCAACUGAAUUAGAGUUAACCAAAUGACAAAAAGUACUUUUGGUCUCAAAUUCACCAUCAUGAAAAUGGGCCGAAAAAAUGAGGACACUUAGAAUUUUACUAUCAGAUACUGCCAGAUGAUUAAAAUGCCUGUGUUCCACACACACUGUGCCCUUCGGAGUCCUUCUUGUGCUGUUUCUGUUUCUCUGAGACUGCUGGUAGGAGACCAGGAGUGACUAGGUGUGACCAGGCAUGACGGCAUGAGCAGGCGUUAAAGAUUGGAGCGCUGCCUCAUUUCAAGUCUCUUAAAGAAGAUGAAGGGGGAAGACAGGGUUGCUCUGUCGUCCAGGCUGCAACGCAGUGGCGGGAUCAUAGCUCCCCGCACCCUCAAACUCCUGGGAUCAAGCGAUCCUCCCACCUCAGCUAUAAUGUAUUUUUAAAUUUGGAAAUGCGUUCUCCUCUUCCUCCACCCAGCAUGUAUAUUUUUACUCUCCUCUUAUUCCCUCCAACCUUCACCCAAGUCUGUUUCCUGGCAAUUUGAGAAGUGAGAAAUGCCUGCGUGGGGGAAAAAGUGGAGGCACAUGUUGUGUUGUAAUUUUAACGGGGAAACAUUGCCCAAUGACAAAACCAGGGACCGUCUUGUGAUGUUGCUUUCUGCCCACGCUACCUUUUCCUCUUCUGAGCCCGCUCUCGUCCCACCGAAGGCUGCAAGGCUGCCUCGCAUCCAGAGGCUGUGACCUGCUUUAAAUCAACAAAGCAUGAUGAUCUUAGUUUGAAGAGUUGGGAGGACAACCAUAUGGAUUGAGCUGUCAUCUUUUGGUCCGUUGUAAAUAUCAAAAGCAGGCAGCCCAUUCAAUUCUCAUUCUGAUCUUUACGGAUCUCUCCCACUGAUGAGUUAGAAACCCUUCUAAACUCAUGUUUUCCUUCCUUCAGCCAGCAAGGAUUUAUUGAGCACUUACUAUUAAUAUAUGCCAGGCACCCUUCCAAGCAUGGGGAGUAUGGCAGCGAGGAGUCCAAGCCUCUGCGCUAUCAAUUUUGCAACAGCACUGAACUGUCACCCAGGGCAUUGCAGAGGUUACGUGAGGACAGGGUGGGGCUGUCUGCAGGACCCCAGCUAACUCCGGGUUCAAAUUACCUGUGAUUUGCUCUAAGUCCCACUGAGCCAAGUACAGCACUAGAUAACAAUGAAAACACUUUCAGGUGGGAGGAUGAUCUUUUCCUUCUGCUCCUUAACUUUUGCCCCAUAUCAGGAGGAGCUUCUGAGAAAUGUGAGCUUUUCUGCUCACCCCCACGAUACAUUGUCUAACCACAAACCCUGGUUCGGAUUUCAUCUGUCCAUGACACUGCGUGGUGCAUGAAUAUAUUCUUACUCUAAAGAAAAAA
rnacentral:lncRNA from 10 species